CCUACGGGGUGCAGCAGUGAGGAAUAUUGGUCAAUGGACGAGAGUCUGAACCAGCCAAGUAGCGUGAAGGAUGACUGCCCUAUGGGUUGUAAACUUCUUUUAUAUGGGAAUAAAACGUUCCACGUGUGGGAUUUUGUAUGUACCAUAUGAAUAAGGAUCGGCUAACUCCGUGCCAGCAGCCGCGGUAAUACGGAGGAUCCGAGCGUUAUCCGGAUUUAUUGGGUUUAAAGGGAGCGUAGGUGGAUUGUUAAGUCAGUUGUGAAAGUUUGCGGCUCAACCGUAAAAUUGCAGUUGAAACUGGCAGUCGUGAGUACAGUAGAGGUGGGCGGAAUUCGUGGUGUAGCGGUGAAAUGCUUAGAUAUCACGAAGAACUCCGAUUGCGAAGGCAGCUCACUGGACUGCAACUGACACUGAGGCUCGAAAGUGUGGGUAUCAAACAGGAUUAGAUACCCUGGUAGUC
rnacentral:rRNA from 1 species